CCAACACAUUCGUCCCAAAAUUCUUGUUUUAAAUUUGUCUAAAUAUAGGUAUAUCAAAUCACGUUUUAAUAUUAGAUACAUUCGUAUCUCGACAAAUGUAAGACAAAAUUUUUGGGACGGAGUGAGUA
rnacentral:pre_miRNA from 1 species